CGGGCAGGUGGUCCGUUAAGUCGUCUGUGAAAACCCGGGGCUCAACCCCGCGGAAUGCAGGCGAUACUGGCGGACUAGAGAUCGGUAGAGGCUAGCGGAAUUCCUGGUGUAGCGGUGGAAUGCGUAGAUAUCAGGAAGAACACCCGUGGCGAAGGCGGCUAGCUGGGCCGAGUCUGACACUCAUCCGCGAAAGCGUGGGGAGCAAACAGGAUUAGAUACCCUGGUAGUCC
rnacentral:rRNA from 1 species